ACAGGAUCGGGCUCUCCGGUGCGGUGCUGUAGUAACCGGUGUGAUACAUCAUUCAAAGCCCGGCCGCUGAUAUUCGCUUCACCUCCCCGUGCAUUAUUAAAGGGCGAUCGGGUUGCAGAGGCGGUUGUGGAUGUAGUGAAGGAGGAGAGGUGGAUGGAUAAGGUGACGGUAACCGCUCGCUCUCUCUCUCUCUCUUAUCAGCAGCCUGCAGUCGCGUCGCCUCCACCGAGCCGCUCAUGACCAUGACCGCCACACGUGCUAUUGUAGCGCCGCUGAUUGACGCGUCCUUAACCACGCCCACCGCUGCGCACACCCUUCGAAACGCGCGAGAGAGAGACGGAUUGGGAGGAAUGGAGGAGAUUGUGAUCAUGAGAGGAGGAGGCUCCCUUCUCCAUCGAGACACGCUCUGUUAUGCUAUGAAGCCAGUUGCACGCUUGUAGCCAGCUGCUCCCUCUGAAGUCAUUCAACAUUCUCAAACUUCCACCUGUCCCUCAAGCCACAGCUGUUCGCAAGGGCGUAACUUUGGGUCUACCAUUGGGGGGGUUAAACUCGCGGCAUAUGAAUAAUUUUCUUGUGUAAAAGGUAACAUGCUAAUUUACAUUACAGAUUAUUUAAAAUAUGAUACUAUCUUUCUUGCUGGCAAAUGAAAUUAAUAAAGAAAACGAACAAAAGUAUUCUGAAUAUUUCAUAUUAUUUUAAUCUGAAUGAUGUUAUGAUAUUGAGGGGGUUAUAUUAGUUGGAUCUGAUUUUUGGGGGGGUCAUGACCCCCGUAACCCCCCUGCAAAUUACACGUAUGGCUGUUCGCCAACAGAGCCUAACGGAAAACUAGACCUAAAAAAGAGAGCGCGAGAGGGAUGAAGGGAGGAGUCUGACCCUGACUGGAUCAGAUUGUGAGUGACUAACACCAGGACUCAUGCCAGGAUGUCCGAUUUGCUCUCCAGACCUACAUUAAGCUGGAUGAGCACCCAAACAUGUGCAGUAUUUUCCUUGCCAUGAGUCAGUAGGUCACACGCACAUACACACACACACACUUUGCAUUUUCCUGCUCAUGGAAAAAGAGACGGGAAUAUGGGAAUCUCUCAGAAGACGGCUCUGAGGAAACAUGCGGUGGCAGGGAAUAUCUCCCCAGAGACAGGAGCAGAGCGAGGCAACAGGGAUCUGACCACAGCCAUGCACACAAAUGAUCCACGCACACACAUUCAUCUGCUCGCUCUCUGCUCUGUGGUGGUGUAAACAAAAUUGUCAUGUUGCUAAGCAACAGCCUGUGUCAGUAGAGCAGUUUGUGCACUAUACUAGAGUACAAGUGUGCAAACAAACACUUGGGCAAGCAUAGCAUAGGCUAUGUUCAUUUGGGAUUGAGCUUUAUUUGUUCUCAGUAGUGACACGAUCAGGUCAUAUAAUGUCUGGAAAGGUAACCAAAUCAAUGUUUCUUCAACCCACAAGUCAUGUAAUUCCUGUAACCACACUGCAACUGUGUUAGAGAGUGUGCAUGGAUCUGCACUGGAAAUAGUAGACCAUUAGAGUACAAUACACAUUUCAACAUACUAUGAUUAUGGACAAACUACUUCUACUCUUGAAUUGUGUACAGGAUGAAUAAGGAAUAUGUGAAUUGGGAAGCAGUAAAAUAAUUUAAAGGUCUCCCCUAUUUCACUUCUGAAAGUCGUGACAUUUGCCAAGCAUGGUAACCUAUACUCGGAAUUGGUGCUCUGCAUUAAAUCCAUCCAAGUAUGUUAAACCCAUACUUGACCCCUACUAAACCCAUCCAAGUGCACACACACACACACCAGUGAGAAGUGAACACACAUCCGGCCGAAGCAGUGGGCAGCUUUAGAUCCAGCGCCCGAGGAGCAACUGGGGGUUCAGUGCCUUGCUCAAAGGGUGGAAGAGAGCGCUGUUCAUUAACUUCCUCCCCCACCUAAAACUCCUGCCAACACCGAGACUCAAACCUGCAACCUUCGAGUCCAAGCUUCUAACCAUUAGGCCACAGCUGCCACCUCUAUAAUAGUCUUCAUAUUAAACAUGGACUUAAUGUUAGCUAGCAUGCUAAAGUUAACAUUCCUCAAGCCAUUUCAUGAUCAAAACAUUCAGGAUUAAAACUGAAAACGUGUGUAAUUAAAAAAAAAAAAAAAAAUCUUUCAAAUACAACUAUAUGAAUAAUUAGCUGCAUUACUGUAGGCUACAUCAUCGAGUUUUAACGCCACAGCUCAAUUGUUGCAUUGUUUGCUUUAAACUGAACUGAUCAUCUACCACUCUCAAGUUGCUUAAAACUUUUGUUUGUCGAACAAAAAAGUAGUUAUUAUCUGUUAAGUUGUCUUGCAAUUUUGCAUUCAGUUCAGAAUGGCUCUCUGAAAUAUGCUUGUAUAAAAAUAACUACUCUCUACACGAGCCACUGAGCAAAGACGCAGAUUUCAUAUACUUCUGGGAAUUCUGCAUCUGAGUGAGCAAAUGCUGUAAUAUGAGAAUAUUAACAGACUGCUUUCUCCAGGUUAAUAUUACUUUGAUCUUGACCACGAUCUAUCUAUAGUGUAACACUGCACUUCCACUCAGAGCCUGAGGGUGGCAGUGUUCACACAUCAUCCAUACACCAUAGAGUUUGGGCAAUAUGUAUCCAGACUGAGGAAUGUUAAAGUCACUCAAUCAACUCUGUCACUGGUUACACACAUUUUAGGCAUACACAAUAAACCCAUUGUUAAUAAAUAUAUGAUCUGACAUGAAAAGGCCGAACAAUAAUAAUAGGCUACUGCACUACUUUAGCAAUCCUCAAGCUUUGUCAGAAUCAAGACAAGGUAUACAUAAGAAUAUUUGUUUUAAAAACCACAACUAAAGUCUCUAACAAAGGCUCUCUUAGAGCUGAAUAUUUCCCUGCUCUUCUUUCCUCAUAGGGUGCUGUAAAGAUUCAAAUGAAGCUGCUAAAUGAACCCACAUGCAUAAUGAGCAGCAUGAAUAAUUGAAAAGAUGAAGUGAAAAUGCUGAUCAUACCGUAGCAACGAUGAACAAAUGCAGCAGAACAUUUGCCAAACUCUGACAUUCUGGGUAAUAAUGCAUGUACAUGUCUACAAGCAGGGCCUCGUUUACGAAACACCAGCGGAACAAAUUUGUGUAAAACACUCAGUUCAAUGCAACAAUUUACACAUGAAUGGUUGCAUGAACAGUUGACGCAGGAAUUCGUUCUGCAAAGCGCAGAUCACACUUUUGAUCUCAAAAUGUUGUGCAAAACAAUUGAGCAGGAGACUGACUAGAUCAAGCAUCCUGAUUGGUUUAGUCAUGACCUUUAACCCCUGCUGAUUGGCGCUCCUGCUUUGGACACGGAGCUCGAUGUUUGUCAUCAAUCACGAAUGAGUAGCUUGUAGCACAUUAUAAUAGCUGGGAGCGAGCACUUUUUCCCACAACGAAAAAACAGUCAUCAUAAACAUACAUCACACACAGCCCCAAAUGACAUUGAGAAGCCUUUUAUAUGUUGGAAAAAGGAGAACAUGUGGGAAAAUGGUGUACACACAUCCAGAGACACAUUUAAUACAACGACUACAACCACACUCCUGGAGUACCACAAAUCCAAGUACAUUCACUAUUUAAUGCCCACUAAUGUCCAUGACCUUGGAGCAAUUAGAUGGCGAUAUGACAUCAGCACAGUCCAAUGGCAUUUUUGGGGUCUAAAGUCCCCACUGUGAUCUCAUCCUCACACACACGCCCCCCCCCCCUCACGUUACACAUGGUAUAUUUAGAGCUGAACCAACUGCACUUCAAUCAGUCCUCUAACUCAGCCUGACCCGCUGGAUAGAUCACACCACGUUCAUUCUCUUGCACGCACUCACCUCCUUUCCCCAUGCACCCAUUUACUCCUCUACCUUCAUGUUUCAAGAAAGGGAAAAAAAUGCAGUAGAGUUUUGAGCAACACACAAACAAGCCCACCAAACACUGAAGUAAAGUAAAGAGUAAAGAGUAAAGAACGCUUCCUACCGGCAAUCCCGCCCAGCGCUGGAGGAAAGGGUGAAUGGAAGAGAAGAGGUAGGGAGACUGCGAAAAACGUGCCUGCCUGUGUACGGCUCCGCUCUGCUCCACCAAAUCAAUUUCACAC
ensembl:lncRNA